UUGAGUAAUAAAAUUAGAAAAAUCUUAAGAAAUAUUUAAUAACAGAGUAAAAACUCCCUUAUCACCCUCUUUUGCCUUCACAAUCAGCUUCCAAGAGCAACCUCUCCCUCCAAACUCACCCUUCCUCCAACAAUUUGCUGCCAAUCGUUCGACGAUGGGUUUGGAUUGGGAUCCAUGAAGGUCGUCAUAUUCUGCUCCAAUGGAAAACUCUUAUCCGGGGACCAGGAGUCCGUAAAUAAAACACUACGUAGCCUAGCUGUUGUUCCUCGCCUUCAUCGUCGUAGCCGCUCCAUCCUUCACCUCACCCGCGUUGGACCGCUAGACGAUGACUUAAUCUCCGGCGACGACGAAUCCGAUCGAUCUGUCGUCAGCCCCAAUCGAAAGAUCCCUCCCAAUGGGAAAUAGAGGCGGAGCGGUGGUCGUCUGAGUAUAGAGCUCCCCGCGGUUGUCGAGAGCUGAAGAAUCAAGAAGGUGAAUAUGAAGCCGGAUUGGAAGCGGAUGGAGGAGAUGGUGGGCAUCGUGUAGUGCUGCUGCAAA
rnacentral:lncRNA from 1 species